CAGAUGAAAUGCUGCACAGAGCACUUACCUCAUGGCUAUGCAAACAGCAGCUCCUGGCUGGAAAGCUGAUACUGUUUGAAUCUUCUUGCAAGACAAGUGAAAUAUGAUUAGAAGCACAGGUGCAAUUUUACCUUGCAUUUAGCUUCACAAAGUGUACAGCAGGGCAUGGCGUGCGUCUAGAGCUAUGCGGGCUUCUUCUGCAAUGAGGAUCUGCUUCGCUGAACACUUUCUGGUGUUAACCCUUUGGCUGCUGCCUUCACAAGCCUCUUCCUUCUCCUCUCUGAUGAUCAAUGAUUCCGCAAUCCAUUGUUUACAACAUCACAAUUCACCAAGUGGCAAGCAAUUAUGAUGCUCCAAGCAUCAGUCCAUAACAUCACUAAAUGAGCCAGGCAGGAGGAGGCGAGAUUGAGAGGGCUUUUAUUUGACUACACAUCCUGAUAAGUAGUGACUGGAAAAGAUAUUCUGAAAAGGUUAUUCUGGGGCUUAGAAAGUUGUCUGGAAGUACUGGAGGUUACAGCACCACGGUGGCUUUCUAGAAGAUGACCAUAGAGGAUCUCCCAGAACCUUCCCAAGAAGGAGAUUCAUUGAUUGAAAGAUAUCAGUUUUUAUUCCCAGGCUCUGAAACAUCAGUUACUUUUUCAGUUGCAGCAGCACCAAUGCCUUCAGACUGUGAGUUCUCCUUCUUCGAUCCUAAUGAUGCAGCAUGCCAAGAAAUUCUUUUCAACCCUAAAACAUCAGUCUCUGAAUUGUUCGCCAUCUUACGACAAUGGGUCCCACAGGUCCAGCAGAACAUCGAUAUAAUUGGAAA